GUCCUACACUCGUUUGCUGGUAUGCAACCCUUGGCUACGGUGAGAUCUGUAAAAACAUUGAAAAAGAUAGAAUGAACAGUUAGGCCCAACAGAGGCAGCUUCGGGAUCAGCCGUCCUGUCUCCCCAUCCCCAUCCCCCAACAAUGAACCAGCCCUACUCCCAACUGAAAAAGGAGAGACCACGAUUGCAGCAAGUGACAGAUGAUAAACCUGUUUUAUAAGCCCUGCAGUCCUUUGAUGUCAUGCAACCCUGGAGAUCCCUGUUGCAGCAAGAUCCAUGAAAAAGUCUACAAUCUCCUAAUGACAUGCAACCCCUGUAGUAUUUGGUAACUGUGAAAACAUGGAAAAAGACAGAAUGAAUAGUUCGAUAAUGUAUUGUUUUUCUUAUUGUUUUAAUACUAAUGGCAGUUGUUCACCAUAUAGUGACCUUUGCGUCUUUAGCUGCACAGACCAAGUGAGUGAAUACCACAAUACUUACCGAAUCCAUUAUUAAAGAUCAGUUUGCCACAGACAUUGUUUGGUCUAUAACAGGUCUCUAUAGAGUUGUAACAGGAUGGUUGUAUGCCUCCACAGAAACACCUCAAGGGAAACAGCUGGGAAAUACCUGAAAACAAAACAAACAAAAAAACAUCACUAUCAUGAUCAUUCAUUCAUUUAUUUUCAAUUUUUCAAACAGACUGCAGGUUCAAGGAGUAUCCAGUGGUGGAAGACGUAUUCAGAUCCUUUACUUAAGUAAAAGCAUCAAUACAGCAAUGU